AGAGUUUGAUCCUGGCUCAGGAUGAACGCUAGCUACAGGCUUAACACAUGCAAGUCGAGGGGAAACGAUAGAGAAAGCUUGCUUUUUCUAGGCGUCGACCGGCGCACGGGUGAGUAACGCGUAUCCAACCUGCCCAUCACUUGGGGAUAACCUUGCGAAAGUAAGACUAAUACCCAAUGACGUCCAUAGAAGACAUCUGAAAUGGAUUAAAGAUUUAUCGGUGAUGGGAUGGGGAUGCGUCUGAUUAGCUUGUUGGCGGGGUAACGGCCCACCAAGGCGACGAUCAGUAGGGGUUCUGAGAGGAAGGUCCCCCACAUUGGAACUGAGACACGGUCCAAACUCCUACGGGAGGCAGCAGUGAGGAAUAUUGGUCAAUGGACGAGAGUCUGAACCAGCCAAGUAGCGUGCAGGAUGACGGCCCUAUGGGUUGUAAACUGCUUUUAUAAGGGAAUAAAGUGAGUCUCGUGAGACUUUUUGCAUGUACCUUAUGAAUAAGGACCGGCUAAUUCCGUGCCAGCAGCCGCGGUAAUACGGAAGGUCCGGGCGUUAUCCGGAUUUAUUGGGUUUAAAGGGAGCGUAGGCCGGAGAUUAAGCGUGUUGUGAAAUGUAGACGCUCAACGUCUGCACUGCAGCGCGAACUGGUUUCCUUGAGUACGCACAAAGUGGGCGGAAUUCGUGGUGUAGCGGUGAAAUGCUUAGAUAUCACGAAGAACUCCGAUUGCGAAGGCAGCUCACUGGAGCGCAACUGACGCUGAAGCUCGAAAGUGCGGGUAUCGAACAGGAUUAGAUACCCUGGUAGUCCACGCGGUAAACGAUGGAUGCCCGCUGUUGGUCUGAAUAGGUCAGCGGCCAAGCGAAAGCAUUAAGCAUCCCACCUGGGGAGUACGCCGGCAACGGUGAAACUCAAAGGAAUUGACGG
rnacentral:rRNA from 1 species